rnacentral:rRNA from 1 species
AAUUUUAUGAUUUUAAUAUAAAACGAAUUCUGCCCAAUGAUUUUUUUAAUGGCCGCAGUACUUUGACUGUGCUAAGGUAGCAUAAUAAAUUGGCUUUUAAAUGGAGUCUAGAAUGAAAGAAUAUUUGAGGAAAAAUUGUCUCUCUUUAUAUUUUUAUGAAUUUCUUUAAAUUGGUGAAAAGACCUAUUUUUCUAAGAAAGACGAGAAGACCCUUAGAAUUUUUUAAAUUUGUUUUUUUAGUUGGGGUGACAUAUUAACAUUUUGAACUUUCUUUUUUUACAAGACGAUGAAAUAAGCUUGAAAAAAUUACCUUAGGGAUAACAGCAUAAUAAUUCUAUUUGAUUAUGACCUCGAUGUUGGACUAGGAACCUAAUAAUUAGUAAUUAUAUUGGUUAGUUCUGUUCGAACUUUUUUUUCCU